rnacentral:misc_RNA from 1 species
GUUUUCUUUCCGUUCCAAAUUUUUCUCACGAAAUGCAUUAAAUGAAACAUCAUGAUUGUUUUUCUUACACUAAUGAUUCAAGACGCAAAGUUGAUUUACAAUGGGUCAUGGAAAUGGAGUUUCAGCGCCAUAUCAUCAAACAUUAUUCAUCAUUUAUAUACGGAUAGGAAAAUUUGGAACGGAAAGAAAACUCAUCAAACCAUUUGUAUGCAAUUUCACCCGCCUCUCAGUAGACAUGAAUAUCUACA